rnacentral:tRNA from 1 species
GCCCUUGUAGUAUAAGCUA